rnacentral:misc_RNA from 1 species
UGGCCUGUUGCUGCUUACAGAGAGCUUGUCAAUGGUGAACUCAUUGCCAAGGAUGUCUAAUUCUCCUCCUUCAGAGAUAGGGAAAGUGGAAGAGGGAUUGACUUUUGGAGGAUAUUGAGGAAUGGGAUGGGGUUUGUGAAAUAUUUGUGUAUUUAAUUUGGAAACUUGACAUGAGUAUAUGUAAUGGUUGGUUGUGCUGGAUACAAGGG